ACCCAGACUGGCCAGAUUUCACUCAGUUCAAUUUUAUUUAUAUAGUGAUUUUUAACGAUAGACAUUGUGCUAAAGCAGCUUUACAGAAAUGCAGGUCUGGUUUUAGAUCCUUAAUGAACAAGCCAGAGGAGACAGUGGUGAAGGAAAACCCCCUGAGACAACAUGAGGAAGAAACCUUGAGAGGAACCAGACUCUAAAAGUAAGCCAUCCUCUGUUGGGAGACAGAUGAUCUGAUCAGUGAUCAGCACAUUCACUGGUAAAACCUCGGGUCCAGGGGCAGGUCUAGUGCACAGGAAGAGUGUUGAAGUGGAAUUGUGCAUCUACACUGGGAUAGAGUCUCUCUGAAACAGCACAGCUUUAAAACACCAGCAGGACUAUACGGGAGUAACGGUACCGACACGCACCACGCGGGACUAUACGGGAGUAAGGGUACCGACGCGCACCACGCGGGACUAUACGGGAAUAACGGUACCGACACACACCACGCAGGACUGUACAGGAGUAAGGGUAUACACUAUACACUAUACAAUGACACGCUCUCUCACGUGCAUUCAGCCCAAACCACUGGCCUGCUUCAAGGGCGACUGCACUGUCUGGAUGUAGGAGACUGCUACAGGUGGAAGAUUGCUUCAGGUGUCAUCAUGCAGGUUCAGCAGCAGGUUCUUGUUCGGCAGAUGUUUGUUUUGUCUCCUUUGCUCUGAAGUUUGAAGAAAACACAAAGAGAAGGGAAAUAGGACAUUACUCCAUCGUCACCUGAAGAACAGGAGCAAGAGACACAGUCUCGCACUGAUACUUUCCAAGCAGCGCCGCCGGUGUCCUGCGCAUCA